GAUUUCUAAGGCAGGUUUCUCAUGAUUGUGGAACCUGCAAACUUCUCCAGUUUUACCAUCACUUCCAGAGCCCAUGGCAUGCUGUUUGAAUGUCUGCUGCUACUCCAGCGACUUCAGCCUUCAGAGACUUCAGCCUUUUUGCCAUGGCAAGAACAAUGUCACCAGCUAGUCUGAUCUUUGUACACCAGCAGUGGCUCUGUAGGCCAUUUACUGGGCUCAAAGUUGUGGACUGCCAGCAGCCAGAAGCCAGCAAAUUGGGCAGGUCCAUCUGGGUUUCAACCAGAAGAGUGGCAUCACCACCUGAGGCAUGCUGAGAUGCAAGCAGGUCAUAGCGGGCCACACUCAGCCAGUGUACCACCUGGACUGCGAGGGAGCAGGGCUCAGCCGACCCUGUGCUUUUGUUUGAG
rnacentral:lncRNA from 1 species